rnacentral:rRNA from 1 species
UACGGAGGGUGCGAGCGUUGUCCGGAAUCAUUGGGCGUAAAGGGCGCGUAGGUGGCCUGCUAAGCGUGCGGUGAAAGUCGGGGGCUCAACCCCCGAUCGGCCGUGCGAACUGGGAGGCUUGAGCACUGUAGAGGCAGGCGGAAUUCCGGGUGUAGCGGUGGAAUGCGUAGAGAUCCGGAAGAACACCGGUGGCGAAGGCGGCCUGCUGGGCAGUUUUGCUGACACUGAGGAGCGAAAGCGUGGGGAGCGAACAGG